UUACAGGGAGACCAACUCAAAGGCAGAAGGCACAGGGCACAGGACACAAGGUAAUCAAGGUUCUUUGACCAACAAGACUUCACCUGAGGGACAUCCCAGGUCGUUCGAGGAUCAGUAGAACAGCUUUCAAACUAUGAGAUGGUUCGUUAAAAAUUGACCAAAUACAUUAAACCGGAAUCAAGUUCAGCAAUCAGGUGUUUUCAACCUUGACUGCUGGAAGUAUUCCAGCUGUGAACCUUGAAAACUGCAUAGUAACGCGAAUGUGAAUAGCUAAUGGCUAAACGCUAAAAGCAAUUAGCUUUUAACUAUGAGCAAUAAACACCAAAGUAG
rnacentral:misc_RNA from 1 species